CAUGCAUGUCUAAGUAUAAGCAACUUGUACUGUGAAACUGCGAAUGGCUCAUUAAWUCAGUUAUCGUUUAUUUGAUAGUACCUUACUACAUGGAUACCUGUGGUAAUUCUAGAGCUAAUACAUGCUAAAAACCCCGACUUCAGGAAGGGGUGUAUUUAUUAGAUAAAAAACCAACGCCCUUCGGGGCUCCUUGGUGAAUCAUAAUAACUUAACGAAUCGCAUGGCCUUGCGCCGGCGAUGGUUCAUUCAAAUUUCUGCCCUAUCAACUUUCGAUGGUAGGAUAGUGGCCUACCAUGGUGGCAACGGGUAACGGGGAAUUAGGGUUCGAUUCCGGAGAGGGAGCCUGAGAAACGGCUACCACAUCCAAGGAAGGCAGCAGGCGCGCAAAUUACCCAAUCCCGAUACGGGGAGGUAGUGACAAUAAAUACUGAUACGGGGCUCUUUUGGGUCUCGUAAUUGGAAUGAGAACAAUUUAAAUCCCUUAACGAGGAACAAUUGGAGGGCAAGUCUGGUGCCAGCAGCCGCGGUAAUUCCAGCUCCAAUAGCGUAUAUUAAAGUUGUUGCAGUUAAAAAGCUCGUAGUUGAACCUUGGGUCUGGCUGGCCGGUCCGCCUCACCGCGAGUACUGGUCCGGCUGGACCUUUCCUUCUGGGGAACCUCAUGGCCUUCACUGGCUGUGGGGGGAACCAGGACUUUUACUGUGAAAAAAUUAGAGUGUUCAAAGCAGGCCUUUGCUCGAAUACAUUAGCAUGGAAUAAUAGAAUAGGACGUGUGGUUCUAUUUUUGUUGGUUUCUAGGACCGCCGUAAUGAUUAAUAGGGAUAGUCGGGGGCGUCAGUAUUCAGCUGUCAGASGUGAAAUUCUUGGAUUUGCUGAMGACUAACUACUGCGAAAGCAUUCGC
rnacentral:rRNA from 1 species